UACGGAAGGGGCGAGCGUUGUUCGGAAUCAUUGGGCGUAAAGGGCGCGUAGGUGGUUCUGUAUGUCUACCGUGAAAGCGUACGGUCUCAACCGUAUUUUGUCGGUAGAAACGUGGCAGGACUUUGAGGCUGGGAGGGGGCUGGUGGAAUUCCCUGUGUAGCGGUGGAAAUGCGUAGAGAUGGGGGAGAACACUCGUGGCGAAGGCGGCCAGCUAGACCAGUUCUGACACUGGAGGCGCGACAGCGUGGGGAGCAAACAGG
rnacentral:rRNA from 1 species